UACGGAGGGUGCAAGCGUUAUCCGGAUUCACUGGGUUUAAAGGGCGCGUAGGUGGGUUGGUAAGUCAGUGGUGAAAUCCCCGAGCUUAACUUGGGAACUGCCAUUGAUACUAUCACUCUUGAAUACUGUGGAGGCUAGCGGAAUAUGUCAUGUAGCGGUGAAAUGCUUAGAUAUGACAUAGAACACCAAUUGCGAAGGCAGCUGGCUACACAAAUAUUGACACUGAGGCUCGAAAGCGUGGGGAUCAAACAGG
rnacentral:rRNA from 1 species